GUAGGGAAUUUUGCGCAAUGGGCGGAAGCCUGACGCAGCAACGCCGCGUACGUGAAGACGCCUUUCGAGGUGUAAAGCGUUGUCAGGAGGGACGAAGACUGUUAGGUGAAGAGCCUGAGAGGAUGACGGUACCUCUGGAGGAAGCCCCGGCUAACUCCGUGCCAGCAGCCGCGGUAAGACGGAGGGGGCGAGCGUUGUUCGGAAUGAUUGGGCGUAAAGCGCCCGUAGGCGGUGCGAGAAGUGGUUCGUGAAAGCCCUCGGCUUAACCGGGGAAGGGCGGGCCAGACUCUCGGACUGGAGUGCCGGAGGGGGAGGCGGAAUUCCUGGUGGAGCGGUGAAAUGCGUAGAGAUCAGGAAGAACGUCGGUGGCGAAGGCGGCCUCCUGGACGGACACUGACGCUGAGGGGCGACAGCGUGGGGAGCGAACGGGAUUAGAAACCCCUGUAGUCC
rnacentral:rRNA from 1 species